rnacentral:tRNA from 1 species
AGGGUUGUGGCUCAGUGGUGGAGCGCUCACCUAGCAUGUGUGAGGCCAUGGGUUCGAUUCUCAGCACCACAU